UUUUAGGGAGACCAUCUGAGAAACUACCGAACCUAAAAUAUAGGUAGCAAUCAGUUAUCCCUGGUCGUUCGAGAAAUAGAUGUCAAAGCUUUCAAACUAUUAACUGGUUCGGGAAAUGGGCUAUUAGCUCAGUUGGUUAGAGCGCACCCCUGAUAAGGGYGAGGUMCNUGGUUCAAAUCCAGGAUGGCCCMCCNGGAAACMAAAGUAAUGAAUUUAAAGCAAUGAUUCAAMGAUCAUCAGUAAAUGAUUAAUCUCAGAAUCAGGGCAGAAAAAUCAGAACUUGCUUAGUGGGGGUAUAGCUCAGUUGGUAGAGCGCCUGCCUUGCACGCAGGAAGUCAGCGGUUCGAGUCCGCUUACCUCCACUCUCACUAGCUAUCUAACUACAAAGACAAUCAAAGCCGAGAACAGAAAUCAGCACCCAGACUCUUCAAAAAAAGUCGGAAUGCUGGAGUCUAGWACUCUAGUCAGAACCUUGAAAACUGCAUAGAAAUUAAGUCAUCAAAAGUAGGUAAGUCAUCCGAUGCGUCGGAAAAUCUUACUAGCGACCA
rnacentral:tRNA from 1 species